rnacentral:rRNA from 1 species
AACGAACGCUGGCGGCAUGCCUAACACAUGCAAGUCGAACGAGACCUUCGGGUCUAGUGGCGCACGGGUGCGUAACGCGUGGGAACCUGCCCUUAGGUUCGGAAUAACUCCCCGAAAGGGGUGCUAAUACCGGAUAAUGUCUUCGGACCAAAGAUUUAUCGCUUUUGGAUGGGCCCGCGUUGGAUUAGCUAGUUGGUAGGGUAAAAGCCUACCAAGGCGACGAUCCAUAGCUGGUCUGAGAGGAUGCUCAGCCACACUGGGACUGAGACACGGCCCAGACUCCUACGGGAGGCAGCAGUGGGGAAUAUUGGACAAUGGGCGAAAGCCUGAUACAGCAAUGCCGCGUGAGUGAUGAAGGCCUUAGGGUUGUAAAGCUCUUUUACCCGGGAUGAUAAUGACAGUACCGGGAGAAUAAGCUCCGGCUAACUCCGUG